GCGCUCGCUUCAGCACACGUACUGAAUCGGAACGAUACAGAGAAGAUCAGCAUGGCCCUUGAGCAAGGAUGACCCGUCACCUCUCCAGGGAGUGUAGUUUGGU
ensembl:snRNA U6 U6 spliceosomal RNA